AAGAGGAGAGGAAGAGGAAGAGGAGAGGAAAAAGAGGGGGAAGAAGAGAGGAAAAAUAGAGGAAGAAGAGGGGAGGCCACAAGAGGAGGAAGAGGAGGAAGUUCAGCAAAUGGCCGUCUGACAGAUCCUUCAUAUUUUCGUCUUUUUCGUCUGUUUUGCUAUGGGAAGGAAGGAAGGCACCUCAGAAGACUCCAGAAUCAUGGUCCGCAGCCCACCAGUCCAAGGAGGAGUAGCCCAGAGAGGGAGUCUGGGCUACCGAGGGACAGUCCACCCGUCUAAGUCCAGCCAGCCACUCUAUCCUGUUUUAAGUGACCGCUCUGCUGGUGUGUAUUCAAUAGGUGUACGUUAAGUUGCCAGCACAUUUACAGACCAACAUUCGAGGGGUUAUCAUAACAUUGAGUAGAGAUAAAUCUGCAGCGAAUGUUGGCCUGUCAAUAUACUGCUUACUUGACAUACCUUAUAUAUUUUGGGAAAUAUUGGAUCAAUGCUGUUGCGGUCCGACCCGGCUGUACUGUUGCUGGAUCUCAACAAGACCUUUACGAGAUGACAUUGUAUCGUCUGAGAGUUGAUCAUUCUUUUGGGUCUUGUUCUCCUAAUGUCGAGAUCGCGUUGAAGAUUUAUUUAACUCUAAUGGUUACCAACUGUAGUGGUGAAUGCUCCUUUCCAAAAUUAACUAGACUCAAGAAGUAAGAGUCAGUAUGGUUUAAACAAGAUUGAACCACCUCUCUCUAAUGAGUAUUGUUCAGCACGAGUUACUGAGGGAAAUUAGCAAGUCAAGGAUACAACUGAGGAGCUUUCUGUUGCCAAGUCUCGUAAGUGCUUCAUGUGAGCCACGAUGGUCUGCACUCAGUUCAGCAAAUGGUUCCAAGAUUCUCCAAGGCAGCACUAAUAGUCUACUGGCUGAGCUACUGCCUGCUAUGUAUGGUGUUCUUAUUUAAAGAGGAAUAAAAAGUGUACAAAAUAAAGCCAUCUUUUAUCAGUUGAGUCCUCCCUUCCCCUUUUCAAAAAUAUGGCUUUAUAUGAAUUUUAUCUCAUUCCUCUACCUCAUUAUGUGGCCAUUAACUGUGAGGCAAAGGGUAUCUCAUAUUGUCCACCACUUGCAUUACAGAGGUGACAGCACAGGACACAGGGAAGGCUUAACCCCUACAACACGAGGACGUGUAUACUGUGUCCUUGCGUGCCCCGUACCACAUCCCAGGACGCGCAUACUGCAUCCUGGCUCGCUUUAACCAAUAUACAAGUUAUUUUAUCUAUAUUUUUGCUUACAUCUCAAAAUUAUCAAUUAAUUUAUGUUUCUUUAUAUGCACCAUUUAAUUCUGCAUGUUUUCAUAUAUAAUACAUGAUGAUUGUGUUGAGUUUAUGGCUGAAAACUUGUUAUAUUUAAUAGCGACAUUUGAAAUUUGGCGCGCGGCGAUCCCGGAUAUGGCAAGGGGCACUAUUUUGGCCCGGCCGUAGUGAGUUUCUUUAUGUGCACCAUUUAAUGGACCGCAUUGGCUAUACAGGCAUAUGGCCACUCAACUCCAAGCUGUACUUUCCAUAGAUUUCAAGUUAUAGAAUAGUGUGUGUCCGAAGCUGUCUCUGAGAUACAUACACGGCCAUGGUGCCGCCAUUGCUCCAAGCCGAUGACAUUGCACACGCUUCACUCCGACCCGAUUUCAGUUUUUCUCCAGGUCAAAUAGUAGUGUCAGGAAAUCGAGUAGAGGUAAUAAGUGAGCGGUCGUAGGCUCAGAGUGGUGACUCCGCCAAGGCCUUGUAUCCUGGAGGCAGCCUCAGAUCCACUCUUGUACAUAACUUGAAUUCUAUGGAAAGUACUGCUUUGACAGUUCACCAAGUGGCCACGUGUGGCACUGCCUGUAUAGCCAAUACGGUCUAUUCUGCAUGUUUUCAUAUAUAAUACAUGAUGAUUAUGUUGAGCGUAUGGCUGAAAACUUGUUAUAUUCAAUAGCGACAUUUGAAAUUUGGCGCGCGUGGCGAUCCCGGAUAUGGCACGGGGCGCUGUUUUGGCCCGGCCGUAGUGAAGGGGUUAAGAGUGAAGAUACAGGCCAAUUCUUGCAUUAAUAAGUUGGACAGCACAAGACAGCUGAUAGGUCCAGGCACCCAACAGGAACAAAAAACACCAUGACUCUUGCAUUAAUAAGUUGGACAGCACAAGACAGCUGAUAGGUCCAGGCACCCAACAGGAACAAAAAACAUCAUGACUCUUGCAUUAAUAAGUUGGACAGCACAAGACAGCUGAUAGGUCCAGGCACUCAACAGGAACAAAAAACACCAUUACUCCUGCAUUAGUUUUUUAAUCAGACACUCUAAAAAGAUGAUAGUGAAAACACCAGUAAACUUUCACAUUAUUAAGUUGGACAGCACAGGACAUAGGGAAAGCAUGAGAGAGUGAAGGUAUACCGGAUAACUCUUGCAACAUUAAGUGGGACAG